rnacentral:rRNA from 1 species
UUAAAUUGAAGAGUUUGAUCAUGGCUCAGAUUGAACGCUGGCGGCAGGCCUAACACAUGCAAGUCGAGCGGUAGCACAGAGAGCUUGCUCUCGGGUGACGAGCGGCGGACGGGUGAGUAAUGUCUGGGAAACUGCCUGAUGGAGGGGGAUAACUACUGGAAACGGUAGCUAAUACCG